rnacentral:rRNA from 1 species
UACGUAGGGUGCAAGCGUUGUCCGGAAUUAUUGGGCGUAAAGAGCUCGUAGGCGGUUUGUUGCGUCGGCUGUGAAAGUCCCGAGGCUCAACCUCGGGUCUGCAGUCGAUGACGAGCAAACUGAGAGUGUUGCAGGGGAUGACUGGGAAUUCCUGGUGAUAGGCGGUGAAAUGACGCAGAUAUCAGGAGGAACACCGGUGGCGAAGGCGGGUCUCUGGGCAACAACUGGACGCUGGAGGAGCGAAAGCGUGGGGAGCGAACAGG